rnacentral:tRNA from 1 species
GGUUCUGUAGCUCAGGUGGUAGAGCAACUGCCUUUUAAGCAGUGGGUCGAUGGUUCGAGUCCAUCCAGAGCCAC